CCUACGGGUGGCAGCAGUGGGGAAUAUUGCACAAUGGGGGAAACCCUGAUCCAGCGACGCCGCGUGAGGGAGUAAGUAAUUCGUUACGUAAACCCCUAUUAGCAGGGAAGAAAAUGACGGUACCUGCGUAAGAAGCCCCGGCUAACAACGCGCCAGCAGCCUCGGUGAUACGUAGGGGGCAAGCUUUAUCCGGAUUUACGGGGGGUAAAGGGAGCUUAGACGGUGCGCCAAGUCUGGAGUGAAAUGCCGCGGCUUAACUCCGGUACUGCUUUGGAAACUGGCGAACUAGAGUGCGGGAGGGGUAAGCGGAAUUCCUAGUGUAGCGGUGAAAUGCGUAGAUAUUAGGAGGAACACCGGUGGCGAAGGCAGCUUACCAGGCUACUUCUGACGUUGAGGCACGAAAGCGUGGGGAGCAAACAGGAUUAGAUACCCUAGUAGUC
rnacentral:rRNA from 1 species